GGCUAUGGCGGGCGGUGCGUGGGGGCGUUCGCGCCCGCCGGCUUGAGGUCAACCCGGAUUCGAACCACGUACCGUCCGCCACCUCU
rnacentral:antisense_RNA from 3 species